AGAAUCAACGCUGGCGGCGUGCCUAACACAUGCAAGUCGAACGAGAAAGUGGAGCAAUCCAUGAGUAAAGUGGCGACCGGGUGAGUAACACGUGACUAACCUACCUUCGAGUGGGGGAUAACCUAGGGAAACCUGGGCUAAUACCGCAUAACAUCUUUGGAUCGGAAGAACUGGAGAUCAAAGGGGCAAUUCGCUUGAAGAGGGGGUCGCGGCUGAUUAGCUAGUUGGCGGGGUAAUGGCCCACCAAGGCUUUGAUCGGUA
rnacentral:rRNA from 1 species